GUGGCUAUUUCUUGGCAAAUUACUGUGAAAAUAUUUGUGGCUAUUCCGUAGCAACUUGCCUUACAAAUUUAAGUUAAAAAAAAAAAAAAAACUUGCCUUACAAAUUACGUGCAAAACGUCACAAUUUUUUCCAUGAUUUCAUCGUCGUAGUGGCUUUUUACUACGAUUUUUCCAUUGUUUUGUUUUGUUACGCAUUUCGUGUUUAAUUUGUCAUAUAGUCACGAAUUUUGGCUUAUAGCCACGAAAACGUGGCUAUAACACUUUUUACUAGUGUUUUUAUCACCGACAAGCUUCCUCCACCGCACGGCUUGGAUGGAGAUACCUCCACUGAUGUGGAUCUAUAAGCAAAAAACGCAGCAAAAACCUGAGGAUACAACCCGUGAAGCCAUACACCGCAGAGAGCCUACUCCACCAUCGCCGCUAGAUCUGACACCAAAGCCGAAAAACCGCAAGAAUCUCCAUAGGAAACUGAGCCAAACGACGAAAAAAUGAAAAGGCAAGGCUCUAUCACGUCAUCGGCGGAGAACCCUCGCAGGAGAGGCAAGGAGAAGAAAAAUAUUGGUGUCCGCAAGAUUAGAGAGAAACGAGAGAUGAG
rnacentral:lncRNA from 1 species